rnacentral:SRP_RNA from 1 species
ACCAGGUGUGGUAGUCCACACCUGCGGUCCCAGCUGCAUGGGAGGCAGAGGCAGGAGCAUAGCUUGGGCUCCUGAGUUCUGGGCUUUAGUGUGAUAACGCCAAUUGGGUGUCCACAUUAAGUAAGUUCAGUAUCACUAUGUUGACCUCCCAGGAACAGGUGAGGUUGCCUAAGGAGGGGUGAACCAGCUCAUAUUGGAAAUGGAGCAGGUCAAAACUCCUGUGCUGAGCAGUGGUGGGAUCACGUGUGUGAAUAGUCAGUGCACUCCAGCCUGGGCAACAUAGAAAGAUCCCUGUUUCU